GUUAAGAGAGGGAGCCAACAAGGAGAUCCUGGGUAUCAUCGUAUCCUACAAAGUCAAAGUGAAGCUUGUUGUGUCUCGAGGCGGACUCUUAGGAGAUCUGGCAACGAGCGAUGUCCAUGUUGAGCUGCCAUUUACGCUAAUGCAUCCCAAACCAAUCGAAGAUGCAAUCUACAGAGAUGCUGCAGACGAGGCGCCAAUAGACACAAACUUGAUAGAAUUUGACACAAACGACGAUGACAUCAUCUUUGAGGAUUUUGCGCGUCAGCGGCUGAUCGGAGCGAAAGACGAUGAGGAUGAGGAGGGUGCGGACUCUCCCAAGCUGAACCACAGAUAGAGGAGGGAGAUGGAAGCUGCUGUGUUGUUCCUGUGUUGUGGUACAGAGGAGCUACUGUGACUGGAGGAGAGAGGGAGACCCUUUAAACACGCUCACAGUGGUGCCGUUGUCCUGUUCUUGUUCACAUUCGUCUUCUCCAUACAGCAAGGAUGUCAGAGAGAAAGUUUAGAGGAAAUGAGGCCUAGUCGUGGUGUGGUUUGAGGGGGUGGACCUUGACGCCUAGUUGUGGUGUGGUUUGAGGGGGGUGGACCUUGAC